GGGUCGGAUGUCCUUUCCCUCGCAGGUGACCAGGAGCCGCCGGGCCAGCCCGCAAGGCCAGGAAGGCAGCAGGAACCACCGGCUGGCGCGCAGGGCUGUCUGCGGUGUCUCGUGCUACAGAGAGAAAUAGACGACCUUAAAGAGCAGCUUGCGGCCAUGCGGUCCCUGGCUGACAAGGGCCAGAGCCUCUGAAGUGAGUUGUUACACACACCGCUCCCCUUCGCACGGCCGUGGCUGUCGGCAGGGCCGGGGGCUGGCCCCGGCUCGGGCUCUUCCCGGACCCUGCGCUGUCGGGCAGGCGGAGCCCAGCAUCUCUGUAGCAGAGGGGCAGCUGGUGCCUUCGCAGCCAGGGAGCUGUGGCCAAGCCGGUUCCCUCCUGCCCGCCCUCAGCCAAGGCUUCCUCUCCCUGUUCUUUU